rnacentral:rRNA from 1 species
AACGAACGCUGGCGGCAGGCUUAACACAUGCAAGUCGAGCGCCCCGCAAGGGGAGCGGCAGACGGGUGAGUAACACGUGGGAACCUACCUGAAGGUACGGAACAACUCCGGGAAACUGGAGCUAAUACCGUAUGUGCCCGAAAGGGGAAAGAUUCAUCGCCUUCAGAUGGGCCCGCGUCAGAUUAGCUAGUUGGUGAGGUAACGGCUCACCAAGGCGACGAUCUGUAGCUGGUCUGAGAGGAUGAUCAGCCACACUGGGACUGAGACACGGCCCCGACUCCUGCGGGAGGCAGCGGUGGGGAAUAUUGGACAAUGGGCGCAAGCCUGAUCCAGCCAUGCCGCGUGAGUGAUGACGGCCUUAGGGUUGUAAAGCUCUUUCGACGGUGACGAUAAUGACGGUACCCGUAGAAGAAGCCCCGGCUAACUUCGUGCCAGCCGCCGCGGUAAGAC